GAUGAACGCUGGCGGCGUGCUUAACACAUGCAAGUCGAACGGAAAGGCCAGUGCUUGCACUGGUACUCGAGUGGCGAACGGGUGAGUAACACGUGGGUGAUCUGCCCUGCACUUCGGGAUAAGCCUGGGAAACUGGGUCUAAUACCGGAUAGGACAAUGGUUUGGAUGCCGUUGUGGAAAGUUUUUUCGGUGUGGGAUGAGCUCGCGGCCUAUCAGCUUGUUGGUGGGGUAAUGGCCUACCAAGGCGUCGACGGGUAGCCGGCCUGAGAGGGUGUACGGCCACAUUGGGACUGAGAUACGGCCCAGGCUCCUACGGGAGGCAGCAGUGGGGAAUAUUGCACAAUGGGCGCAAGCCUGGUGCAGCGACGCCGCGUGGGGGGUGACGGCCUUCGGGUUGUAAACUCCUUUCGCUAGGGACGAAGCGUAUUUGUGACGGUACCUGGAGAAGAAGCACCGGCUAACUACGUG
rnacentral:rRNA from 1 species